GCGGGUGUGGCUGAGUGGUCAAGCAGCGGUCUGCAAAACCGUCUACGCAGGUUCGAGUCCUGUCAUCCGCU
rnacentral:tRNA from 4 species